CCUACGGGAGGCAGCAGUGAGGAAUAUUGGUCAAUGGGCGAGAGCCUGAACCAGCCAAGUCGCGUGAAGGAAGACGGUCCUACGGGUUGUAAACCUCUUUUGCCGGGGAGCAAUGGAGUCCUUGCGAGGGCCCGAUGAGAGUACCCGGAGAAAAAGCAUCGGCUAACUCCGUGCCAGCCGCCGCGGUAAUACGGAGGAUGCGAGCGUUAUCCGGAUUUAUUGGGUUUAAAGGGUGCGUAGGCGGGAUGUGAAGUCAGCGGUCAAAUGUCGGGGCUCAACCCCGUCCUGCCGUUGAAACUGGUGGUCUUGAGUGGGCGAGAAGUAUGCGGAAUGCGUGGUGUAGCGGUGAAAUGCAUAGAUAUCACGCAGAACUCCGAUUGCGAAGGCAGCAUACCGGCGCCCGACUGACGCUGAGGCACGAAAGCGUGGGUAUCGAACAGGAUUAGAUACCCUGGUAGUC
rnacentral:rRNA from 1 species